CCUCUUUUGGGUAAAGAAAAAAUAAAAAUAAAAAUAAAAAGAAAAGGCUAAUUAUGACAAUUAUUACUAAGGCGCUGGCCCAAACAAGGAUAUACAUUCAGCAGGCUCAUCCGGCCCAACACUAAACCAGAAAUUUUAAAAAGAAAGAAAAAGCAAGCAGAAAGAAGAAGGGCACGUUCUACUUGUUCCUGUAGUCUUCGUUUUAGCCAUUUACACCUCCAAUCCAAGUCUGUCUCUCUGAGAUCAGGUGCUAGCAUCAGGUAAAUGGGUUUGAUGACACUACUUGAAGGCUUUCUGCUUCUUGCAAAUGCACUAGCAAUAUUAAAUGAGGACCGCUUCCUUGCGCCUAGAGGAUGGAGCCUCGCAGAAUUCUCAGUGGGCAGGACAAAGUCAGUCAAGGGACAGAUUAUAGGUCUCAUUUACGCAACACAGUACUUGAGAGUUCCUCUCGUACUACUCAAUACCGUCUGCAUUGUUCUAAAAUUGAUAUCUGGGUGAUGCAAAAUUAGUAUCAUAGUGUCCAAACAAACUUACUGUUGAGCUUUCGCUCAGAUUGUUCUGAAGAUUCAUCAAAGUGAAAUGGGAAAUCUGCCAAAUGGAUCUCCGGUUUCUUGGAAGGCUGAAGCAUUAGGUUGAUUGAUAUUGUUUGAUUGUUGUAAUUUUGAAAUAGCUCUUGCACCUCAUUGUUCGGAAACUAUUUGCCAACAUAUCAAUUGUGCAUUUGAACGUCA